rnacentral:lncRNA from 1 species
CGGACAGGGCCGACUCGCCGGGGCGCACCGAGAGGUAGUCGGUGCGCACGAGUCCCAGGGAGGACACGGAGCGCGCGGCCACAUGGUAGAAGAGGCCGAUGGAGUUGAGGAAGUAGCGCACGAGGUCCUCCUGCGUGAGCCAGCAGAAGUCGCCGGCGGCGGCGCCACCGCCUCCGCCUCCGCCGCCGCCGCCAACGAGCUGCUUCCUGCGCCCGCCAGCGCGGAGUGGCACGGCGAGCACCUGCGCCCCGCUCAGAACCGCAUCAAGCGCCUCCAAGAUACUGCAGAAAGAAGAGAAACCUCACACUGGUCAGCUCAAAACGAACCGAAUCUAUGCCGUGAAUCCCGUGAUUAAAAAUAGGCAAGACGCGAGACACGGAGACAGGAUCCCAAAAGAAUCACCACUAUUUUCAAGAAAGAUUCGAUUAAGACGCACAAUUUUUCGAACCACAUGCCGAGAUCCUCCUUUCAUUCCGAGACUCGAUCAAGCGGCGCCGUUUUCUAGCCACAAGCAGGCCCCCCAAAAGAAGCAGCUGAUCCUAUCCUAUCAAGCAUCUCGCAAGGAGACAUGCAUGGGUGCAUGUCACAAUCUCCGGGCACCCACACCGAGCAGCGCCACAAGAUUGUCUCCGCUGAGUCGGACGAUCUGACCCGAAUGCGGCUUUUUCUUCACCACCACGAGUACUGACAGUCAAUUGCUCGAAUCGGGUCGCAUAUUCCAAGCAGGAAAGUAGACAUCAAACUCUCCAAGUAACUACGAUGAGGAUGAACGCUCGUCUGUCUUGACUUGGACCCAAAAUAUAAAAUGACACUAGCCAGCAAACCAAUUUAUUCUACUAAUAACGCUGCCUCAUAGAAUCAUUUUUUUUCGCAGCUUUUAUGGGGAUUUUUGACCAAAAAUCGUGUUUCCUCGUGACGAGCCUUAGCAAACGUCCAAUCUUGAAAGAAUCCCACGCGUCGUUUGCACAGGAGACCCAAAAGAGAGGAAGAGGGAAAGGGGUUGAGCCUUUACCUGGAGCGGGGAUCGACGCGGCGGACCUCUCCGGCGCCGUCCUUGGGCAGGAGGGCGGAGACUGGCUUGGAGAACACGGCGGCGGGGCGCGCGAGCGCCUCGGGGUCGGUGCAGAGGAAGCAGAGCACGUCCGCGAGGCCGACCCGGCCGACGACGGCGCGCGCUGGUCCGGUCACCGCGACGCAGGCUGCGGCGCCAGAGCGGGCCACCCUCCGGAGCGCGGCGGCAAGGUCGCCGGCGGCGGCGGAGAGCGGGAGCGACCUCACGGCCGGCUUGCCGAUGCACAGGUCCGAC